GCAUGUCCCCUGGAUUUGUGGUCAGUUGUUGGGGUUCUGUCUCUAUCCUCAAGCCUUCUCUAUGCACAUUCUUUUCGUUGUGGUGAGAUUGGAGAAGAAGAGUGGGGAAAAAGGCCAGCAUUGCUUUCAAGUAUGGAUAUUCCAGGUAUAAUUUGAAAGGACAUUUGUACAUAAAUGGUUAUCCUCAGGGCUGGACAGCCCUGCAUUUGAUCUUGGGAGGAGUUGUUGCUACUCUACAAGGGCAGGGAGAACAUCAGAAAAAGCAUAUGAGAUGGUAUGGAAAAUUCAAGGUACUAUUUCUUUGUUUCUUGCUAUGUUCUAGAGAUAACUGUAGGUGGCCUAUAGAGAUGGCUAUGCACAGUGGCCAUAGAGGGAAAAGAUGGGGAAGGGAAAUGGUGGCACCAGGAAUGACGCCACUCUACACGCCCAACCUCACGACCUUCUGAGGGCUGUCCUUAGCUGUAACAGCUGGUCCCCAAGGGUAACCUUGUUGCUGAUCCAAAUCUCAUUGCCAUAGGUAGAAGUGGAACCAACUCUUCUUGGUGCUGAGUGCAGGCAGGAUGCUUCCUGAGGAACCUCACCAACAGAACCAGUGUCCUGACCACUAACGUCAUGGAGAGGGUCCCACAUACGUCACCCCUCACCUCUAGUCAGUAGCUUCAUUCUAGAGGCAAGCAGGAAAGGCAAUUUUGUACGUAGCUGAAAGCUUGUGUGGUGUCACUGGGGCCAUUGUCAGGUGGUAGAAAGAGCCUGGAGUUCAGCCUUCCUGGGCUCCACUCCCAGCCAGUUACUCCAGUUGGGAGCCUUCCUGGCACGGUGGUGUGAGAAUCGCAUGAGGCGUGCGGAGGACCUAACCCAGUGCUGAGCUCCUAGCAAGUGCGUCACCAUCUUAUCCUUACGAAAUGCUAUGUUAUGUGGUUCGACUGUGGUAGGGUAGAGAAGCAGCUGUUACACAGACAGACAGACAUGAUCUGCGGGGAGGGUGUGCUGGGGAAGGAAGUUCUAGAUUCUGAAGGCCAGCUAGAAAAAUAUGGAUGUCAGAGCCACUGAAGGCACAGCCUGGGGAACAGCCCUAAGGGCAGUUGGCUUGGUUGGCCACAGUGGAGGCUCUGGAUUCCACAAUCUCAUCUCGGACUAGGCAGGGGGCAAGAGAAGAGAGAGGGAAGCGGCAGUAGUGUGAGGAAUUCUUUGAGGAGGAAGAUGACAGAACAGAGUGACUAACCAUUUAUAGAAGACAGGAGAGAGACUGAGGAGAUAGGAGCCUCUCAGAUGACAGACAAAUCUUUUCUUUGAAGUGUUUUCAUGGGUUUGAAUGUGAGCGUGUCUGAUAUUCUGGGAGACUGCACCACUUUAAACAAAACAGUGGGCCCACACUGAGGACGCCAGACAUAGAAAGUUCCUUCUUCACCAUCCUCCACCCUCUGUGUGGCUGCUUCUGUUUUGCACACCAAGCUAUGACGACUUGUUCUCCAUGCUGCUGCCUUCCCUUCAUCUCAGUCCCCUAGCUGGAUAAUGCUUAUUGUUUUUUCAGCUACAGGAGUCAUUUAAGUGCUUGGCUUUUAAAAGAUGCCCAUGUUUUAUUCUUGUGGAUUGUGUAGACACCCAGACAGAGCUUGAGUUGAAGUUUGAUGAAGUGUGGAUGAUAACGUGUACAAGUACAAUCUAAAAUCACAGUGUUUCCAAACUGGGUCAUGAACCAUUAGUGAGUUGUGAAACCAAUUUAGUGGAGGUCAGGCCACCAUUUCUAAAGAAUGAAAUAAAAUACAGAAGAAAAUAUCAGAGCAUUCUGCACAUGAAACCUAGUUCUUUUGAUACAUGUGUACUGGGUAACGAUGUAGGAUAUAUUCUCAUUGUGGAUUUUUUUUUAAUGUUUAUAAAACUCAGAAUCAUGAAUGAUGGAGGAAAGAGAUUGUAAGAGAAAUUGAAAUUGCCAAGGUCAGAUAUGGAGAAGCAAGAAAAUAUUGAGGGGACUAUAUUAUGGCAAGCUGAGUGUCUGAGCGACUUCACGUUAUUCCUGUCUUGCUCUAAAAUAAAGAAAUAUCACAACUGUGCAUUUCAUAUUUAUUAUUGUUUUAUUAGAAUAUGAUUGUUUUGCAUUUCCAGAGCCACAGCCUCUUCUUGAAAGAGCAGACAUUGCAUUUCUCCCAAUACUCAGUUGAGUACCUGAAAGAAUAACGUUUCCUGUCUAUAGUUUAUUAACUUACUUUACUUGGAAGACUCUGUCAUUCAAAAACCAAAGGAAGACUUGACAAGCUGAAAUACUUGUGAGGGAAAGAGUUGUCCAUGUCAUUAAAUUAAGCCUGUACUAAAUAAGCAAUGGAAGAACUUAGCCAGAAUGGAGUAUCUGAUGAGCAGGCACCCUGGAGAGAAAAUCUUCUUCACCUCAAGGAUGAAGGUCUAGUCCCUCUCCAAAAACAAGUACACUUCCGUGUCCCUGAGGAUGUGCCAGUGUUGACACAUUUGUGAGUCAUUACCAGCCCAACUGGGCACAUAGUGCUGUAUCUUGCGAUGGUUCACUGUGGUUACCAGACAGGGCCAGGUUCGUGGAUGUUUGACCUGUGAGGUUGCUCAGCACCCCAUGCUCAGAAGGGCUCCAUGCUUGGUUUAAUGCCCUGCUAUCACUGUCUUGAAAUUCUUAAUAAUUUUCCAACAAGGGGACUUGUGUUUUCACUUUCCACUGUGCCCCACACAGCAUGUAGCUGGUCCUGCCUCUAGAAGCACCCUUGUCUGCCCUCUUUCCUCAGGGUGGCACCAUAACCCCAAGUUACUGGUGACUACCUCCACUGGAAUAACCCACUGUAUUUCCACAAAUUGUGGGUAGCCUAGAAAAGAAGAGAGGAUGGAGGAACCACAGUGAGGUGGAGGGUCACCGAAGGUCUGGCGUGUUGUGCAUGCUGGUGAGUGGCUCCAUUGAACCUGGAGUGGACGUUAGGAUCAGGUCCUGCAGAGCCUAUGGGCCAUGUGAAGGGGACAAACUUGAUCCUGAGGGCUAUGGGAAGCCUUGGAAAGUUUGAGCAAAUGAGUAACAUCAUGUGGUAUUCAGGAGAUCCUGACAUGACUGUUGUGCCAAGUUCCAAGCUCCAAGGAGAAGGGCCCACAAAAUGCAAUAUUGAGCUUGCAGGUGUAGGACCAUUUUUACCUAGUUUUCAGGGAUAUGAAAAGCAACAAUUUGUAACGUGUUCACUCAUGUAACAUGUAUUUGUUGAGCACUGCACAUGCCAGAUACUGUUUUAGACACUGGGAUUGCAGCAGAACAUUGAGAAUCCAUGCCCUGAUGGGGCCUGAGUGAUGAUGGAAGGAAACAGACAAGAAACAAGUGAGAGAGAGGGAAGGAGGGAGGGAAAAGAAAAGGAGAUGGAGAUGAAGUAUAAUGAAGAGAAAUAGAGCAUAUCAGGGAGGGUAGCUAGUGGUGGGACGGGGGUCCCUCUUAGGUAAACUGGUCAGGGUAGGAUUCUACUAGGUAACAUUCUAGUGGAGACCAGAUUUAAAUGAGGGAGCCAGCCAUGUGAGCAUCUACGGAAGAGUGUUCUGGCCGGAGGGGAUGGGGGUGAAAAAGGCCCAAGAUGGACCUUGUUUGGCAUUUGGGCAUGAGGCCAAUGUGGUUGGAUCAGAGUGAAUUGAGUGGGAUUGGCAGGAGAGUAAGUUGGUGAGACAGCAGGUUAUAGGGCCGUUUAGGAUAUUGUGAGGGCUCAGGAUGUUGUUUUGAGUGAUAUGGUGGCCAUUGGAGGGUUUUGAGCAAGGGAAUAUGUGGCCUUACUUGUAUUUUUGUUUUAUUUUUAUUUUAUAUUUUUGAGAUGGAGUCUCGCUCUAUCACCCAGGCUGGAGUACAAUGGUGCCAUCUUGGCUUACUGCAACCUCCACCUCCUGGGUUCAAGUGAUUCUCCUGCCUCAGCCUCCCAAAUAGCUGCGAUCACAGGUGCGUGUCACCAUGCCCAGCUAAUUUUUUGUAUUUUAAGUAGAGAUGGGGUUUCACCAUGUUGCCCAGGCUGGUCUCAAACUCCUGACCUCAAGUGAUCCACCUGCCUUGGCCUCCCAAAGUGCUGGUAUUACAGACGUGAGCCACCAUACCUGCUUAGUUGUAUUUUUAAAGGGUAAUUUUGACUCUGCUGUGAAAAAUAGACUGAGGUGGGGUGACUAGGGUGUGAACAGCAGGGGUCAGGGUAGAAGAGAGAAGGAAGCUGGCCAGGCACCGUGGCUCACGCCUGUAAUCCCAGUACUUUGGGAGGCCGAGGUGGGUGGAUUACAAGGUUAGGAGUUCGAGACCAGCCUGGCCAACAUAGUGAAACCCUGUCUCUACUAAAAAUACAAAAAAUUAGCUGGGCGUGGUGGUGGGUGCCUGUAAUCCCAGCUACUUGGGAGGCUGAGGCAGGAGAAUCGCUUGAACUCGGGAGGCGGAGGUUGCAGUGAGCUGAGAUCACUCCAUUGCACUCCAGCCUGGGUGACAGUGCAAGACUCCAUCUCAAAAAAAAAAAGAGGAGGAAGCUACUGUAAUAACCUAGGUGAGGUGCUGGUGGCACAGUGCUAGUGGCUGAUUCUGGAUGUGCAUCGAAGAUACUGCCAACAGGAUUUGCAUAUGAUGUGCAGUAUGAGAGAGAGGAAUAAAAGAUGACUGUAAAGUUUUGGCCUGAA